rnacentral:rRNA from 1 species
UACGUAGGGUGCAAGCGUUGUCCGGAAUUAUUGGGCGUAAAGAGCUCGUAGGCGGUGUGUCGCGUCGGCCGUGAAAACCUGCAGCUUAACUGUGGGCUUGCGGUCGAUACGGGCAUCACUGGAGUUCGGCAGGGGAGACUGGAAUUCCUGGUGUAGCGGUGAAAUGCGUUGAUAUCAGGAGGAACACCGAUGGCGAAGGCAGCAACUGGUCGUCAACUGACGCUGAGGCGCGAAAGCGUGGGUAGCAAACAGG